rnacentral:lncRNA from 1 species
ACGUGACCACGAGUUUCAAUCCAAACAGAAAAAACACCGUCAAAUCAAAUCUGAAAAGAGACAAAAAAAAAUCGGUGUUCAUCGUCAUCCAAACAGCAUGGGUAUUAUUAUUCAACUUAAGUACACAUCUAUUAUUCCACCAGCACCCAGAGUUUACCUAAAUCAACACCCAUAGAUUGCCGAAACUUAAAUAAUCUAGACACGAAACAUGAAACAUAGAUUACUGAAACUUACUAGAACAUGAAAACGUAAAUUACGGAAACGGAACAUGAGACGUCCCUAGCAAGCAGCACCAAAAACAACUACUCCUCAUCAUCGUCACGGCGGCCAGCCUUGGGUGAUUCCGGUGUCGGCGUCACAAGUAGCGGGCUUGCGGCUUCCGCCUUGGGUGAUUCCGAUGUCGCGCUCGACGAGGCUCCUCCAGAUGUUGGGGACGAAGACGACCCUGUAGUUCUGCGCCAUGUACGCGCCCACCACCGUGCCAAACAGGAAAAAAGGAAACAGCCGUCGCACCAAGCAAAACAUGCUGCUGCUUUCUUGUCGUUGCUCUCGGCUUUCUUUGUCCAAGGUAUUCUGGGUUUGGCAACUCCAGAGAAUUUUGGUGGCAAGAAGAGCGACCAUGCAUCAGCGGGAAUUGAAAAGCAUGGAUACAUGGUGUUUACACACGUACGUCGCCGGAAGCGCCCGAUCGAGAUACACUAGUCACGCCACCAACAGGAGGUUUCUUGAAAGCUGAUCUAUUGAUAGCUAUUAGAUUCGUUGUCAAUCGGUUUUCAUGCUCUCUUAUAUAUACACCCCCGCGCCGUUCUUUGGACUUGACCACGUACGUAAUAGAUCUGUUUCUGUUAUAUAUUUUGUGUCCAACAACCUCCGCGUACGUGUACCAGAAUUUAGUUGCCCUAUCCGAUCUUUCUGCAUCUUUACCGGUUCGGAUGCCGUUCAGCCCGGCCUCUAACGGAAUCGGAGAUUUUCAUCAUCAUGAUCCACAUCCCCCCUCUCCCGCCCCGCGCUAUUUUCGUAUCCUGCCGUGUCCAGGGCCAGGCUGAUCUGCGCGCCCUCCUCGAUCCGUCUACGCUACGUACCCGCCUAUACCCCCCACGCUUCGCAUGCAUGCAUGCAGCUCUGUGCUGGUUAAGUGAAGCAAGAGAAACAGAUCUACUAAUGGAAAUUUCAAGUGAGUUUCACUUCAUUAAAUAGGUUACCACAU